GUUUCUCUCAGUGAACGCAGUCAAGAAGAACGUGCACGCAGUUCCUAUCAGCUAUUGAUUCUAUCGUUCAUACCUUGGAAAUAUAUGUCUUUUUACAUAAAAGAAUUGAGAAGAACAAUCACCAGUAAAGUUACUAAAGUUAUGAA